ensembl:lncRNA
UACAGGUAACAGGAGUCAGGUGUACAGUAACUACAGGGGUCGGGUGUACAGUAACUACAGGUAACAGGAGUCAGGUGUACAGUAACUACAGGGGUCGGGUGUACAGUAACUACAGGUAACAGGAGUCAGGUGUACAGUAACUACAGGGGUCAGGUGUACAGUAACUACAGGUAACAGGGGUCAGGUGUACAGUAACUACAGUUAACAGGGGUCAGGUGUACAGUAACUACAGGAGUCAGGUGUACAGUAACUACAGGUAACAGGAGUCAGGUGUACAGUAACUACAGGGGUCAGGUUUACAGUAACUACAGGUAACAGGAGUCAGGUGUACAGUAACUACAGGUAACAGGGGUCAGGUGUACAGUAACUACAGGUAACAGGAGUCAGGUAUACAGUAACUACAGGUAACAGGGGUCAGGUGUACAGUAACUACAGUACAGUACAUGUUUGUCUGAGUGCCAGUGGAACAGAAGCUUCUCUUCUCCUUCUGUCUGUAAUUCUCCGGUCUUUCUUUGACACCCAGCAUAACAUUGUCGUGGGGUAUGUUAUUUUCGCUACAAGGGGUGCCGAAUCAGUUGGAAGGGCAUUUUAUUUCCAUAGCACGUAUUUAAUGUGUGCUAUAUCAGAGACAAUGGGCGGCAGGUGAGUUUCAACUUUGGGGAAGCUUACAAUUUAUCCUACAAUUUCUACCGAUCUACGUGGCA